rnacentral:lncRNA from 1 species
UUCAUGUCACGUACUGGAUAACUGAUUUCACCUUUAGAAUUAAUGUCUUGAAACAUUUUAAUUUGGUUGAUGCUUAGGAGGCAGGAAAAAGUGAUUUUCCUGCCACAGAGUAGAAACAGUUUGAAGAAACUGUUGGAACUGAGAAUCUGAGACCUGACAAUUAGUAGAUUUUAAAGACAUCUGCCUGGGCUUUGUGGCUGAAGAUAGGGCCCAGUGUUCUUUCCUGCCAGCCUCUUACAACAAUACCUGUUUUUUUGCAGGUUACACAGUUGAUGAAAUCAUCCACCUGGCUGCCCAUCUGUUAUAGAGAGGGUGCAAGUUUACAUUUUUCUAAAAGCUCCAUGUAAACUUAAAGCAUUAUCAUUAAACAUCCUAAGCUAUUACAAAGUGUACACUUUGAGUCACAGAGAUAGAAAUAUUCAGUGUGCUUAUGAAAUAUUCUUGUUGGAUUUUAAAAUUUUAAUUUUGACAGAUAUUUUCUCUGUACAGAUUUGGAACAGAGUCCCAGGUCUUCAGACAACAAAUAUUUGCCUGAACAUAGUAACUACAAGGGUAUGGGAAUGCUGGUUCAUGACAAAAGCAAUUAAUAUUUUGCUUUAAAUUACAUCUUAUUAGAGAAUGGAAUCCAUCUUUGCUGUAUCAUAUGACUGCAGUUGAAAAAGUCAUCUGCACCUCCUGCCAGCAAGUAAAAGACAAUUUUAUGUCUGAACAGGAGCAUUAGGAAAACUGCAAAAGCAACUCAACUUCUGAUUUACUGUCCAAAAUCCUGCUUGGUCUCUCCUAGUAGCAACAUAUCAUGUACUACUAUCCAAAUGUUGCCUCUACAUAUUAAUACAGGGAGGAAGAAUACUUUAGGCAAUGGAAGUAACACAACUCAUGUAAAGCUCCCUGUACACAGGUGAAGGAAAAGAAACUGGAAAAUGGCUAGGAGAACAGGGAGCUGAUGCAGCAUUCCGGCUUCUCAUUAGACACUGUUAUAUCUUCCAGUUUGCAAUGGAAGGUUAAAUCGCAAAGCAUGUCAGAAGUCAUUGUUAGAGAGAGUGGAUUUGCUUCACUGGGCAAACUGCAGCCCUUUUUAGUUGUGACUAUAGUGACAGAACAGUUCUGGUUUCCUUUUCUACUAAGAUUUGUUUUGGUUUUGGUUUUUCCUCAGCACUGUUGUGAAAUCUCUGGUUGCUUGGCAGUGGACCCGUGCCAGGAUUUGAUAACGUACUGUAAAACUCUGGCUUAUUUGACUUCACACUAGUGACAGGAUUUGAUAGCUCAUUUUGAAGUGGC